rnacentral:rRNA from 1 species
UUAAGCAUAUCAAUAAGCGGAGGAAAAGAAACCCACAGGGAUUGCCCUAGUAACGGCGAGUGAAGCGGCAACAGCUCAAAUUUGAAAUCUGGCUCUCGGGCCCGAGUUGUAAUUUGUAGAGGAUACUUUUGAUGCGGUGCCUUCCGAGUUCCCUGGAACGGGACGCCAUAGAGGGUGAGAGCCCCGUCUGGUUGGAUGCCAAAUCUCUGUAAAGUUCCUUCAACGAGUCGAGUAGUUUGGGAAUGCUGCUCUAAAUGGGAGGUAUAUGUCUUCUAAAGCUAAAUACCGGCCAGAGACCGAUAGCGCACAAGUAGAGUGAUCGAAAGAUGAAAAGCACUUUGAAAAGAGAGUUAAAAAGUACGUGAAAUUGUUGAAAGGGAAGCGUUUAUGACCAGACUUGGGCUUGGUUAAUCAUCUGGGGUUCUCCCCAGUGCACUUUUCCAGUCCAGGCCAGCAUCAGUUUUCCCCGGGGGAUAAAGGCGGCGGGAAUGUGGCUCUCUUCGGGGAGUGUUAUAGCCCACCGUGUAAUACCCUGGGGGGGACUGAGGUUCGCGCAUCUGCAAGGAUGCUGGCGUAAUGGUCAUCAACGACCCGUCUUGAAACACGGACCAAGGAGUCGUCUUCGUAUGCGAGUGUUCGGGUGUCAAACCCCUACGCGUAAUGAAAGUGAACGCAGGUGAGAGCUUCGGCGCAUCAUCGACCGAUCCUGAUGUUCUCGGAUGGAUUUGAGUAAGAGCAUACGGGGCCGGACCCGAAAGAAGGUGAACUAUGCCUGUAUAGGGUGAAGCCAGAGGAAACUCUGGUGGAGGCUCGCAGCGGUUCUGACGUGCAAAUCGAUCGUCAAAUAUGGGC